CCUACGGGUGGCAGCAGUGGGGGAUAUUGCACAAUGGGGGAAACCCUGAUGCAGCGACGCCGCGUGAGUGAAGAAGUAUUUCGGUAUGUAAAGCUCUAUCAGCAGGGAAGAAAAUGACAGUACCUGACCACGAAGCCCCGGCUAACCACGUGCCAGCAGCCGCGGGAAUACGUAGGGGGCAAGCGUUAUCCGGAUUUACUGGGUGUAAAGGGGGCGUAGACGGUUAUGUAAGUCUGGAGGGAAAGCCCGGGGCCUAACCCCGGGAGUGCUGUGGAAACUGUUGAACUGGAGUGCAGGAGGGGCAGGCGGAAUGCCUGGUGUAGCGGUGAAAUGCGUAGAUAUCAGGAGGAACACCGGCGGCGAAGGCGGCCUGCUGGACUGAAACUGACGUUGAGGCUCGAAAGCGUGGGGAGCGAACAGGAUUAGAUACCCGAGUAGUC
rnacentral:rRNA from 1 species